rnacentral:sRNA from 1 species
GGCCUUGUUUUGUCUUCCUGGUAGAGAUGCCUGUGAGUGCAGAGAGGCCUUCUAUGGGAGAUUCAAUGAUGAUUCUGUAGGCAAAGGGUUUCUCUACAGCUCUCCAUGGUGUAUCCCAAUGAAAAGAGAUGGUCCAUGGUUUUAAGACAUUUAUUGUCAUGGCAGAAAGUGGAUGAGUAAAACUCUACCCCACUUCUCAAGGUGGGCCUGUGAUUAAGUACCUUUUUCAGGGAGAAGUGUCUGGUAAGGAAAGGUUCAUUUGCUAAGCUGCUAGGCCUUUAGGUUCUUCCUUAUAAUGGAGAUCUGUCUUGAGCCUAUGUGACCUGUUUCAUGCCCUUUACCUGUGGAAGGCUUGGGGCAUUGCUCUUAUGGGGUUGAUAACCACAAAUAUAUGGAGGACUAUAGCUAGUGACUGUCCAAGUGUCCUGGGAGUCAGGCAAAGCUCCUACCAUUUCUUUCAGUGUCCCUGAGGCCUCAAGCCUCCUGAACAGGAACCAGGGUUCCUUUCAUCAUCCCUCAAGCAAUCUGGUUGGGAGUAGAUUCAAACACCAUUUUCAAUUAUGAUAAUUGCCUGGGUUGCUUAAUCCUUUCAACCUUACCACAUUUUCUUUGUGGUGGCACAAUCCACUCCCCCACAAUCACCUGCCACUGUCCUUCCACCACCCUCUCUAGCAUCUCUUUCACUUUCCAUAGGUCCCAGUCUGGGUGAGGUAUUUUAGGGUUCCAUCUGGGCUCUGGGUGUUGUCACUAUGGAAGAGAAAGCAGGAAGUAUGUGGGUAGGUGGUGUUACAUGAACAAGGAAGAGAGGGAUAGUUUUCAUCCAGGACAUUAAGUACUACAUGAGGGGAGCCUGCAGUAUGUGUUAUCUAAGAGAUGUUUCUGCAAAGGGAGGCAUCAGAAAUAAAUAGGAAGGCUUGAACCUUUUCCUUCUCACCACUGUCUAUUAUGGAAUAACCAACUUGCCCAUAAAAUCAGAGAGUCUGAACCCUGGUGUCUUGUCAAGAACUGGAGUCUGAAGCGUCACUGAGCCUGGUCUGAGGGAGGCAAUGUUUGCUCAGGAUGAAGACUGGGGAUGGUCGUGGAAUCUGGGAACUCAGCAGGAUACAGAAGAAAAAAUGCCAAUGGAAUUAACCAACCAGCUCUCUUCUCUGGAGUCCAGGGUGGCUCCAUUGAGAUCCCUUUUUCCUUCUGCUUCUGCUGGGAGUUGGCCAAGUAUCCACAGAUGAGCAUAGCCUGGAGAUGGAAAGACUACCAUGGAAAAUUCAUCUACAACUCCACUCUACCUUUCAUUCAUGAGCACUUCGAGGACAGGCUCAUUCUGAACUAGACAAAGAGUUAGAUAUCUGGACUCCUCAGAAUCCUUAACUUGAGGGAGAAUGACCAGGCCACACACUUCUGUAACAUCUGCCUGAGCACCACAGAAGAUAGGAAGAGAUGGCAGUCGAUUCCUGGGGCCCAACUCUCCAUCGUCCAUGCACUCAGCACCACCAUGAGGAUCCCCUACAUCAUCUCUUCUGCAGUCUUCACAACUGGUCUGGAGGACACAGGAGGUCAGAUGAAUCAUUCACUGCCGAAUCUGGUAGCCAUAGAUGGGAUGAUCAUGGCAAAAUGUUGUGGCCACCUUCCCCAUCUACGGGUGGAUGAUCUUUCUGUUGUGGAAGCAAAGGUAAGUGGUCCAUGACAGGCCUCAUCUGAACUUCCCACUGGGAGUGUUCUCAGCAGUGGGAGAUGGAGAAUGGCAGACUUGUGCAGGGAACAGUAACGAGAACAAAAUAAGUGAAAUGUGCCUGAACUUGACAAGGACUGCAUCUAUGAAGCCUGUUGUCCUUCCUGACCACCUGGAAAUUAGAGGAACAAAUGCAGAUGAACACAGAGCCUGCUCCUAAGGAAUUCAAGGAGGCAUGCAGAAGUCUCAGGGGCUGACUGCACAUCUGGAAUGAGCUGUGGCUCCUAAGGAAUAUCUGAGAGUAGACCAGCAUUUGCAGACAACAUGGUAAGGGCAUUGAUACAUAUAAAAAGUAACACCUCUUUUCGUUGGGCAUGUGUCACUAGAAUGGAAAGUAAUAGACCCAUAAACAGAAAGAAAUCUAUAUGCAGAACCUAUCACUACAACAAGAGAAAGAGUUGGACACUAGAAAUCUAAUCCUCUUGAGCAAAAAUAUGAAACACCUAUUGCAGGGUCUCAGUUGAAGUGAUUGCCCCACGAAGAGGGACAUGAGUAUCCCAUAAACCACAUAAAGAGUUGUCAGAUACUUGGACAGGCAGAGACACUAUGAUUCCUGGGGAUCACUGUGCUGUAAGCCUUACCUUGUGGGUGAGAACUAUGACUGUCCUGUCUCAAAAUCAUGAGAGAACGUCUCCCAAAGGACAAUGUCAAGGUUUUCCUCUACCAUCCACAUGUGUCUGCACAUAUGCAAAUAUACACAAGUGUCUCUUAAAGUAAAUUUUAAGAAACACUGGAGAAAUAUUUUAAAUGUAGUGAUAUUUGCAGAAUGGCAAAUUUUAUACAUGAAGUUCUGACAACACACAUGCACACACACACACAUAGCUAAAAAUACAAUGAAUUUCCUGUUUGAAAUACAAAUGCAUUUCUGUAAAAAUAAAUUAUUUGUCUUCAAACAUUCAUGGUUACUCUAAGAAAUAAAAAUGGGGACACAGAGGGGGACACAAUAAUCUCAGCCGGAGGAUAAUGCAGAGUGGUUCAAGGUUAUCUACAGUUGCAUAGCACCAUGGGUCACUAGGCUCCAAAGACCUUGUACACACAUUACAAGACUCAAGUGUGGACUGAGGUCAUAGUGGAUUUAAAGCCGUGGGACCUAGAAGACUAAACAAUAAGGACCUAUAUGCAUGAAUGGUAGAGGGUUUGCAAAUACCAUUUAACAAUGUUAAAUAUUAAGU